UUCGAAGGGGGCUAGCGUUGUUCGGAUUUACUGGGCGUAAAGCGCGUGUAGUCGGGUCGUUAAGUUGGGGGUGAAAACCCGGAGCUCAACUCCGGAACUUCCUUCAAAACUGGCGAACUGGACUCAAGCAGAGGCAAGUGGGAUUGCGAGUGUAGAGGUCAAAUUCGUAGAUAUUCGCUGGAUCACCAGUGGAGAAGGCGACUUGCUGGGCUUGUAGUGACUCUGAGACGCGAAAGCGUGUGGAGCAAACUGG
rnacentral:rRNA from 1 species